rnacentral:rRNA from 1 species
AACGAACGCUGGCGGCGCGCCUAAUACAUGCAAGUCGAACGAGAAGGUGUAGCAAUACACUUGUACAGUGGCGAACGGGUGAGGAAUGCAUGGGCAACCUACCCUCGAGUGGGGAAUAACCAGCCGAAAGGUUGGCUAAUACCGCGUACGCUUCCGGGUCUCCGGAUCCGGAAGGAAAGUCACACCGUGGGUGUGACGCUCAAGGAUGGGCUCAUGUCCUAUCAGCNGUUGGUGAGGUAACGGCUCACCAAGGCAACGACGGGUAGCUGGUCUGAGAGGACGAUCAGCCACACUGGCACUGCGACACGGGCCAGACUCCUACGGGAGGCAGCAGUAAGGAAUAUUGCGCAAUGGGCGAAAGCCUGACGCAGCGACGCCGCGUGGGGGAUGAAGGUCUUCGGAUUGUAAACCCCUUUUAGGAGGGAAAUGGGACGAGCAAUCGUCCGGAUGGUACCUCCAGAAAAGCCACGGCUAACUUCGUGCCAGCAGCCGCGGU